rnacentral:rRNA from 1 species
GACGAACGCUGGCGGCGUGCUUAACACAUGCAAGUCGAACGGUAAGGCCCUUCGGGGUACACGAGUGGCGAACGGGUGAGUAACACGUGGGUGAUCUGCCCUGCACUUCGGGAUAAGCCUGGGAAACUGGGUCUAAUACCGGAUAGGACCACUGCCUGCAUGGGUGGUGGUGGAAAGCUUUUGCGGUGUGGGAUGGGCCCGCGGCCUAUCAGCUUGUUGGUGGGGUGAUGGCCUACCAAGGCGACGGCGGGUAGCCGGCCUGAGAGGGUGACCGGCCACACUGGGACUGAGACACGGCCCAUACACCUACGGGUGGCAGCAGUUAGGAAUUUUGCACAAUGGACGAAAGUCUGAUGCAGCGACAUCGCGUGUGGGAUGAAGGCCUUCGGGUCGUAAACCACUUUUGUUUCUCCAUGAAGGAGGAGCGAAUAAGGAACUACUAACUACGUGCCAGCAGCCGCAGUAA